CGCCGCAAGAGGUGCGCCGCUGCUCCACGCCGCUGUUUGUGGACACGAACGGUGCCGGGGAGGCGCGUCGUCAGAGCAGCAGCCACUCGGACCGGAGCGACGCGUCCGAGCGGCAACGCGUGACAACGACGUCACAGGAGGUGGCCGACGACUCCGUCUCGUCACUGAACUCGUCCUUCGUGUCGGAGGCCGAGGCGGGCCUGCUUAACCCCCAGGUGGAGCUGAGCGAGGGCCCGGGUCGGGUGCGGGUCAAGGCCGAGCUGAACUCUCCGCUGACCUCGCCGCACCUGUCCGGCGCGCUGGACGGCGCCGCCGGCAGCUGCGUCUUCUGCAAGAAACACUUCGUCAGUGCUGAUGACCUGAAGGACCACAUCAGUCGGGUGCAUGUCACAGACAGACUG